GAGGUCACCAGUGCUAUGUAACGUAGCCGGUUCCAAAACAAGAGAGAGAGAGAGAGCGCGCACCAUACACCGUGGUUUCUACAAAAUCCUUCCUGAUGGAAGCCACCGCCGGUAUCCCCUUCAACUUCAAGGCUCUCGCAAACAAAAGCCAUGGGUAUUAGAGGAAAGCGGAGGCGGUCCGGCGAUAGCCCUAGCGGCGGCGCCGACGACGACCACCCCGCCCCUCAGGACUGGGUGGCGCUCAACGAUGCCCUCCUCCUCCUCAUCUUCGAUCGUCUGCAUUCCCUUCGCGACGUCUUCGUCUUCUCCGCCGUCUGCCGCACCUGGCGCGCCAUCUCCCUGCCCACCUUCUCCACCCUCCUACCCUUCCGCCCCCCUCUCCUCCUUCGCCCCGUUGGCACCCCCCUCCCUUCCGGAGUUCCCCGGUGCCGCCUUCGCCGUCCCCACCGAUGCGAUCUCCUCACCCCCACCGACCCCUCCGCCUCAUAUCGCUCUAUCGUCUCCCGCAGAGCCCUCUCUCACCCCUUCCUCGGCUACUCCUACGGCUACCUCAUCUUUGGCGGCAGUCGCCCUUUCCUCGCCAACCCUUUUACCGGCGAUGAGUUCUUCCCUCCCCUGCUCACCAGCGACGAACUCGCCUCCUUCAGCUGCGCAGCCCUGACGGCUCCCCUGUCCUCUCCCGACUCCAAUCUCCUCCUGUGUAGCUCCCACUUCGUCCUUCGCUGGCGGGCUGGGGAUGUCCACUGGUCUAAACACACUCUGGAAUUGCAAGGUACACCCAUCCGCCAGAUAAUCACCUUCAAUGGGCAGGCGUUCGCUUUUCUUACGGAUGAUAGGCUGUUUGUCAUCAACUUCUCUCCAUAUUUCAGUAUGAGGCAAUUGGUGGUGCCGUGGGCAGAUGGAGGCCUCCAAUUUUGGAUAUUUGCACCUCCACAGCUGGUUGAAUGUGAUGGUCAGCUCCUCAUGGUUCACUUUUCCGCUGUGAAAGAGCAGAUGCUCUUGUCGACUAUCCGAGUUUAUCGGCUGGAUGGGUCGAAAAUGGUGUGGACACGAGUGGAUACCUUGGGUGAUUGGGCUCUGUUUGUGGACAUUAGGGGAAAGAGCACGGCGUCGUGCUCCAACCCGAGUAGGUGGGGAGGGAAUGCCAACUGCAUCUACUGCACAGGGCCUAGCUGUGAUACUUGGGUUGUGUUGCCCCUGGAUGGAGUGGUCUCUACAAUGGACUGCCAGUCCCCUUUAUUUCAUAACCAAUUUUAUUCUGCAGAUAUUCCUUCACCUGUUUGGAUGUACCCGAGUACGCUUUUCUGACUAUGUUUUUGGUGAUGACUCCAUCUUCUUGGUGACAUGAGUGAAUUGGGUUCUUCAAUAUCUGGAAGCUUCAAGUCGUUAUCUUACAUCAAAUUCAAAGGUAUAGCAUGAAUUCGACUGGGCAAUGUACUGGAGAGAUUAGGGACUUGUUGCAGUGUCAUGUGUUCAUAUGCGGGUAUUUACAUGGAUCACAUUCUCUUGACUCAUUUCCUAUGAGGUUGACUGCUUCCUAUUGCUGUCUGUUUUCUCAUGUUGUUCAUCUUCUCUUCUUGUUGCUUUGUGUCAUUGAAUUGCUUACUUAUCUAAUAAGGUAUAAAGAGGCUAUUAAAUAUCUGUUUGCCUCAACUCAUACGCAUGCUAUUGUGCCUGUGGUAGCCUUGAACUGAUAAAGCUGAUCAAUCUGAGAAUUGGCAUAUUCGACUGUUACGUUGGUGGAUGGUCACAAACUUC